rnacentral:rRNA from 1 species
GACGAACGCUGGCGGCGUGCUUAACACAUGCAAGUCGAACGGAAAGGCCCUGCUUUUGUGGGGUGCUCGAGUGGCGAACGGGUGGGUAACACGUGAGUAACCUGCCCUUGACUUUGGGAUAACUUCAGGAAACUGGGGCUAAUACCGGAUAGGAGCUCCUGCUGCAUGGUGGGGGUUGGAAAGUUUCGGCGGUUGGGGAUGGACUCGCGGCUUAUCAGCUUGUUGGUGGGGUAGUGGCUUACCAAGGCUUUGACGGGUAGCCGGCCUGAGAGGGUGACCGGCCACAUGGGGACUGAGAUACGGCCCAGACUCCUACGGGAGGUAGCAGUGGGGAAUAUUGCACAAUGGGCGGAAGCCUGAUGCAGCAACGCCGCGUGCGGGAUGACGGCCUUCGGGUUGUAAACCGCUUUCGCCUGUGACGAAGCGUGAGUGACGGUAAUGGGUAAAGAAGCACCGGCUAACUACGU